rnacentral:rRNA from 1 species
AGUGAACGCUGGCGGUAGGCCUAACACAUGCAAGUCGAACGGCAGCACAGUAAGAGUUUGCUCUUACGGGUGGCGAGUGGCGGACGGGUGAGGAAUACAUCGGAAUCUACUUUUUCGUGGGGGAUAACGUAAGGAAACUUACGCUAAUACCGCAUACGACCUACGGGUGAAAGCAGGGGAUCUUCGGACCUUGCGCGAUUGAAUGAGCCGAUGUCGGAUUAGCUAGUUGGCGGGGUAAAGGCCCACCAAGGCGACGAUCCGUAGCUGGUCUGAGAGGAUGAUCAGCCACACUGGAACUGAGACACGGUCCAGACUCCUACGGGAGGCAGCAGUGGGGAAUAUUGGACAAUGGGCGCAAGCCUGAUCCAGCCAUACCGCGUGGGUGAAGAAGGCCUUCGGGUUGUAAAGCCCUUUUGUUGGGAAAGAAAAGCAGCAGGUUAAUACCCCGCUGUUCUGACGGUACCCAAAGAAUAAGCACCGGCUAACUUCGUG